ACGGGUGAGUAACACGUGGGCAACCUGCCUGUAAGACUGGGAUAACUUCGGGAAACCGAAGCUAAUACCGGAUAGGAUCUUCUCCUUCAUGGGAGAUGAUUGAAAGAUGGUUUCGGCUAUCACUUACAGAUGGGCCCGCGGUGCAUUAGCUAGUUGGUGAGGUAACGGCUCACCAAGGCAACGAUGCAUAGCCGACCUGAGAGGGUGAUCGGCCACACUGGGACUGAGACACGGCCCAGACUCCUACGGGAGGCAGCAGUAGGGAAUCUUCCGCAAUGGACGAAAGUCUGACGGAGCAACGCCGCGUGAGUGAUGAAGGCUUUCGGGUCGUAAAACUCUGUUGUUAGGGAAGAACAAGUACGAGAGUAACUGCUCGUACCUUGACGGUACCUAACCAGAAAGCCACGGCUAACUACGUGCCAGCAGCCGCGGUAAUACGUAGGUGGCAAGCGUUAUCCGGAAUUAUUGGGCGUAAAGCGCGCGCAGGCGGUUUCUUAAGUCUGAUGUGAAAGCCCACGGCUCAACCGUGGAGGGUCAUUGGAAACUGGGGAACUUGAGUGCAGAAGAGAAAAGCGGAAUUCCA
rnacentral:rRNA from 1 species